rnacentral:rRNA from 6 species
AUCGUAACAAGGUUUCCGUAGGUGAACCUGCGGAAGGAUCAUUG